UGCCAGCCGCCGCGGUAAUACAUAUGUGGCAAGCGUUGUUCGGAAUUACUGGGCAUAAAGAGUUCGUAGGCGGUGUGAUAAGUCUGAUGCGAAAUGCCUGAGCUUACCUGAGGAACUGCAUUGGAUACUGUCACGCUGGAGUCUCUGAGGGGAAAGCGGAAUUCCAGGUGUAGCGGUGAAAUGCGUAGAUAUCUGGGAGAAGGCCAAUGGCGAAGGCAGCUUUCUGGUGGAUGACUGACGCUGAGGAACGAAAGCUAGGGGAGCGAACGGGAUUAGAUA
rnacentral:rRNA from 1 species